rnacentral:rRNA from 1 species
UAGUCCACGCCGUAAACGAUGAAUACUAGGUGUCGGGGAGUACUGCUCUUCGGUGCCGCCGCUAACGCAUUAAGUAUUCCACCUGGGGAGUACGUUCGCAAGAAUAAAACUCAAAGGAAUUGACGGGACCCGCACAAGCGGUGGAGCAUGUGGUUUAAUUCGAAGCAACGCGAAGAACCUUACCAAAUCUUGACAUCCUUAUGACCGACACUUAAUCGUGUCUUCUCUUCGGAGCAUAAGAGACAGGUGGUGCAUGGUUGUCGUCAGCUCGUGUCGUGAGAUGUUGGGUUAAGUCCCGCAACGAGCGCAACCCUUAUCUUUAGUAGCCAGCAGUUCGGCUGGGCACUCUAGAGAGACUGCCGGGGAUAACCCGGGAGGAAGGUGGGGAUGACGUCAAAUCAUCAUGCCCCUUAUGAUUUGGGGCUACACACGUGCUACAAUGGGCGUAAACAAAGGGGAAGCAACUCCGUGAGGGACAAGCAAAUCCCAAAAAAUAACGUCUCAGUUCGGGAUUGUAG